rnacentral:lncRNA from 1 species
AUUGGAUUAGGAGGGUCUGAAUCCAAUGAGUGUGUCCUUAUAAGAAAGAUCAAAGACACACAGACACACAUAGACACACACAGACACCCAUCAUAGACACACACAGACACCCAUCAUAGACGUGCACACAGAGAUACACACAGACACCCAUCAUAGACACACACAGAGACAAACACACCCAUCAUAGACACACACACAGAGACACACACACAGAGAUACACACACCCAUCAUAGACAUACACACAGAGACACACAGAGGUACACACACCCAUCAUAGACACACACACAGAGACACACACACAGAGAUACACACAGACACACAUUAUAGACACACACAGGCACACAUGCAGAGACACACACAGACACACACACACAGACAUACACACAGAGACACACACACAAAGACACACACAGACACACAUAGGCACAUACACAAAGACACACAUAGACACACAUUAUAGACACAGACACACACAGAGACACACACAGAAACACAUGCAGACAUACACACAGACAUACACAAACACACACAUAAAUAUACAUCAGAGAUACACACAGACAUGCAGACACAUAUAGACACACAGGCACACACAGAGACACACAGACACACAUCAUAAACACACACAGACAUACACAGAUUCAUAUCAUAGAUACACAUACAGACGCACAGACACACACACAUAGACAUAUCACAUACAUGCACAUAGACACACAUCAUAGACACACACACACAGGCACACACAAAGACACACACAGAAACACACACAGACACACAUCAUAGACACACACAGAGACACACACACAGACACACAUAUAUAGACACAUACACACAGAGACACACACAGAGACACACACAGACACACACACAGAGACACACACAGACACACAUAUAUAGACACACACAGAGACACACACACACAGAGACACACAGACACACAUACAUAGACACAUACACACAGAGACCCACACACAGAGACAUACACAGAGACACACAGAGACACAGAAACACACACACAGAGACACACACAGAGAUACACACGGAGACACAUGGAGGAGAAGGCCCUGUGCGGGGAAGGCUGAGACUGGAGUGAUGUGUACUGGCCA